GCCAGCAGCCAUAUCUCCCUGCAACUCACAACUGGCAGCCCACUGAAGUUAAGUGGGUGUGAGCCUGGUCAGUACCUGGGAGACCUCCUGGGAAAAACUAAGGUUGCUGCUGGAA
rfam:Lepisosteus oculatus linkage group LG4, whole genome shotgun sequence.